rnacentral:misc_RNA from 1 species
UGGUUCUGGCAUCGAUGAAGAACGCAGCGAAAUGCGAUAAGUAAUGCGAAUUGCAGAAUUCAGUGAAUCAUCGAAUCUUUGAACGCAUAUUGCGCCCCUUGGUAUUCCGAGGGGCAUGCCUGUUCGAGCGUCAUUACAACCCUCAAGCUUGGCUUGGUAUUGGGUACCGUUACUUAUCUAGCGGUCCUUAAAAUCAGAGGCGGUACUGUCGAGGUCCUGAGCGUAGUAAAUUCCCUCGCUACGGGACUUGGCAGCUACCAGCCACUAAUCCAACCUUCUAAGUUUGACCUCGGAUCAGGUAGGGAUACCCGCUGA